rnacentral:rRNA from 1 species
UGGGGUCGAGUUGCAGACCCCAAUCCGAACUGAGACCGGCUUUUUGGGAUUCGCUCCACCUUACGGUAUCGCAGCCCUCUGUACCGGCCAUUGUAGCAUGCGUGAAGCCCAAGACAUAAGGGGCAUGAUGAUUUGACGUCAUCCCCACCUUCCUCCGAGUUGACCCCGGCAGUCUCCCAUGAGUCCCCGGCAUAACCCGCUGGCAACAUAGGACGAGGGUUGCGCUCGUUGCGGGACUUAACCCAACAUCUCACGACACGAGCUGACGACAACCAUGCACCACCUGUGUACGAGUGUCCAAAGAGAACCCCGUCUCGGGGGCUUUCUCGUACAUGUCAAGCCUUGGUAAGGUUCUUCGCGUUGCAUCGAAUUAAUCCGCAUGCUCCGCCGCUUGUGCGGGCCCCCGUCAAUUCCUUUGAGUUUUAGCCUUGCGGCCGUACUCCCCAGGCGGGGCACUUAAUGCGUUAGCUGCGGCACGGAACUCGUGGAAUGAGCCCCACACCUAGUGCCCAACGUUUACGGCAUGGACUACCAGGGUAUCUAAUCCUGUUCGCUCCCCAUGCUUUCGCUCCUCAGCGUCAGUUGCGGCCCAGAGACCUGCCUUCGCCAUCGGUGUUCCUCCUGAUAUCUGCGCAUUCCACCGCUACACCAGGAAUUCCAGUCUCCCCUACCGCACUCUAGUCUGCCCGUACCCGAUGCAAGCCCGAGGUUGAGCCUCGGGAUUUCACACCAGACGCGACAGACCGCCUACGAGCUCUUUACGCCCAAUAAUUCCGGACAACGCUUGCGCCCUACGUAUUACCGCGGCUGCUGGCACGUAGUUAGCCGGCGCUUCUUCUGCAGGUACCGUCACUUGCGCUUCUUCCCUGCUGAAAGAGGUUUACAACCCGAAGGCCGUCAUCCCUCACGCGGCGUCGCUGCAUCAGGCUUGCGCCCAUUGUGCAAUAUUCCCCACUGCUGCCUCCCGUAGGAGUCUGGGCCGUGUCUCAGUCCCAGUGUGGCCGGUCGCCCUCUCAGGCCGGCUACCCGUCGACGCCUUGGUAGGCCAUCACCCCACCAACAAGCUGAUAGGCCGCGAGCCCAUCCCCCACCGAAAAACUUUCCAACCCACACCAUGCGAUGCGAGCUCAUAUCCGGUAUUAGACCCCGUUUCCAAGGCUUAUCCCGAAGUGGAGGGCAGGUUGCUCACGUGUUACUCACCCGUUCGCCACUGAUCCACCCAGCAAGCUGGGCUUCACCG